AAUCUGUGUUGAGGGCAGCGUCGAAUCAAAUCUUUAAACAUUUCCCAUGCUUUGUAGAGUGAUUCGAAAUCAUUUUACUUAAAUUGACCAAUUUCACUCUUGAGUUG